AGGAGCGUCGCUAGAUGGAAGAGGUGGGCUAGAAGACGGCGAAGGAGAUGGAGAAUCUGGCUUCGUGGCCGGUGCAACAGCUGGAACUGAAGCAGGAGGUGAAGCUAGAGGAGCUGGAGGAGGAGUAGCGACGGGAGGAGUUGCUGGUGGAGGAGAAGCAACGGGAGGAGGAGGAGAAGAGACUGGAGGAGGAGUAGCGACGGGAGGAGGAGUAGCUGGAGGAGGAGAUGAGACUGGUGGUGGUGUGUUAGCUGGAGGAGGAGCAGUGGUGACUGGAGGAGGAGAAGUUGUGACUGGUGGUGGUGCUGAGACAGGAGGAGGAGUAG
rnacentral:lncRNA from 1 species